rnacentral:rRNA from 1 species
CUGGCGGCGUGCCUAAUACAUGCAAGUCGAACGGUCUUUCUAUGGAAGCUUGCUUCCACUGAGAAGAUAGUGGCGAACGGGUGAGUAACACGUGGGUAACCUGCCCAUAAGAGGGGGAUAACAUCCGGAAACGGGUGCUAAUACCGCAUAGUUUUCUUGAUCGCAUGAUUGAGAAAGGAAAGACGGCCUUUGUGCUGUCGCUUAUGGAUGGACCCGCGGCGUAUUAGUUAGUUGGUGAGGUAACGGCUCACCAAGACGAUGAUACGUAGCCGACCUGAGAGGGUGAUCGGCCACAUUGGGACUGAGACACGGCCCAAACUCCUACGGGAGGCAGCAGUAGGGAAUCUUCCGCAAUGGACGAAAGUCUGACGGAGCAACGCCGCGUGAGUGAAAGAAGGUUUUCGGAUCGUAAAACUCUGUUGUCAGAGAAGAACAAGUUGGAGAGUAACUGCUCCAGCCUUGACGGUAUCUGACCAGAAAGCCACGGCUAACUACGUGCCAGCCGCGGC